rnacentral:rRNA from 1 species
GAUUUUGUCCUUCAUUCUUAAAGAGGAUCAAGAUAUCAGGGAGGUUAUCUUGUAUGAUCUCCAAAGCUAAGUAGGGUCAGGCCUGGUUAGUACUUGGAUGGGAGACCGCCUUGGAACACAGAGUAAGUAAAGACU